AACACUGUUGGAGUGUCGAAUGGACUUUGUCCAACCAUCUCUCUUGCCACACUUUGGUUAAUUUAACUAAAGUUCGAUAUAAUCUACCGAAGUUUCGGUAUAUUACAGUUUGAGAUUUGAGAAGUGAGUUUUAGCUCAGAUUUGGAUAAUUGAGCUUAUAUAUGCUGAUUUUGAGGUUUUGAUGUAAAAUCUUAAAAUUUUGAAU
rnacentral:lncRNA from 1 species